rnacentral:tRNA from 1 species
GGUUCCGUAGUGUGGUGGUUAUCACGCUCGCUUCACACGCGAAAGGUCCUAGGUUCAAGCCCCAGCGGAACCA